GAUCUUCUCUCAUUUAAUGCACAGGAUGACUGCACCGGGGGGCAGAAUUAAAGGUUGCUUGGCAAACUGGUUCAAAUACACAAGGAACCCAGGAAUACCCAUUAUGGUGGAAAAGAAUCCCUCCUCUGCCUGAAUCCAUUUCUGGCAUCCUGAAUGGAAACAUGCUACAAGGUCACUACAGGCAUUUCUAUCGGAAGACAGCCUCUGAGGAGUCCUGCUUCAGUGGUUUCCAUUUCCAAGUUCCCUUCAGUCCACAGAUUCAUCCACCUUAAAGUAAAACUAACCCUUUCUUAAAUCUCAGACUCAUAAUUGCUCCUAUCUUUACUUGUUCCAAUUGUGUGUGAAAUGUUCUAUUUAUGGUCUUCUAUGAAGAAAAACAGUCAUGUUAAUCUGUACCAGAACUGCAAUCUUGGCUGGGGGAGUUUUUUAUUGAUCAUUUUAAUUUCUUGAAGCAGAUCUGGCAC